UGCGCAGGCGGUUGUACAAGACAGAGGUGAAAUCCCCGGGCUUAACCUGGGAAUGGCCUUUGUGACUGUACGGCUAGAGUCUGGCAGAGGGGGGUAGAAUUCCACGUGUAGCAGUGAAAUGCGUAGAGAUGUGGAGGAAUACCGAUGGCGAAGGCAGCCCCCUGGGCCAAGACUGACGCUCAUGCACGAAAGCGUGGGGAACAAACAGGAUUAGAUACCCUGGUAGUCCACGCCCUAAACGAUGUCAACUAGUUGUCGGGGAUUAAUUUCCUUGGUAACGCAGCUAACGCGUGAAGUUGACCGCCUGGGGAUACGGUCGCAAGAUUAAA
rnacentral:rRNA from 1 species